UAACAAGGAUUCCCCUAGUAACUGCGAGUGAAGAGGGAAGAGCUCAAAUUUUAAAUCUGGCAGUUCUUGUGACUGUCCGAGUUGUAAUCUAGAGAAGUGUUUUCCGCGCUGGACCGUGUACAAGUCUCCUGGAACGGAGCGUCAUAGAGGGUGAGAAUCCCGUCUCUGACACGGACUACCAGGGCUUUUGUGAUGCGCUCUCGACGAGUCGAGUUGUUUGGGAAUGCAGCUCAAAUUGGGUGGUAAAUUCCAUCUAAAGCUAAAUAUAGGCGAGAGACCGAUAGCGAACAAGUACCGUGAGGGAAAGAUGAAAAGAACUUUGGAAAGAGAGUUAAACAGUACGUGAAAUUGCUGAAAGGGAAACGCUUGAAGUCAGUCGCGUUAGUUGGGGAUCAACCUUACUUUUUGUUGGGUGCAUUUCCUGAUUGACGGGUCAGCAUCAAUUUUGAUCAUUGGAUAAAGGUCAAGGGAAUGUGGCACCUCUCGGGGUGUGUUAUAGCCUUUGACUAUACAGUGGUUGGGAUUGAGGAACUCAGCACUUGUGCUUAGGAUGCUGGCAU
rnacentral:rRNA from 1 species